GAGGGUGCGAGCGUUAAUCGGAAUUACUGGGCGUAAAGCGCACGCAGGCGGUUUGUUAAGCUAGAUGUGAAAGCCCCGGGCUCAACCUGGGAAUUGCAUUUAAAACUGUCCAGCUAGAGUCUUGUAGAGGGGGGUAGAAUUCCAGGUGUAGCGGUGAAAUGCGUAGAGAUCUGGAGGAAUACCGGUGGCGAAGGCGGCCCCCUGGACAAAGACUGACGCUCAGGUGCGAAAGCGUGGGGAGCAAACAGGAUUAGAUACCCUGG
rnacentral:rRNA from 1 species